rnacentral:rRNA from 1 species
AUGGCUGGGAUGGCAUCACGCAGCGAAGGCAAGACAACCGGCGACAAAGGCUACUGUAGUGUGAUUUAUUCACCCUAUCCACAGUCGUCGCCUCUUCCUCCUCGCCUGACCGACCUGUUCCAACAAUUUGGUCUGGACAAGAUCCGCGCGAUCAUGAACAGUUCUGAUGGUAAGACGUUCGAGCAAAAGAUCGACAAGUUACGAGAGGAAAUGAGUGCUUUCGAACGUGCUCGUAAUGAAUUCUUCGUCGAGGGCGAGGAUGUUGACGAGGACGACGAAGACGACGAGGACGACGACGUGGAUGUGGACGAGUCGGAUAGAAAGCUCUUAGAUGAUGACAAGAAACCCGAUAUCACGAAACGACCACACACUCCUAUUGGAGAUGAGGUGGAAUGCAAGAAGCCAAAGAUAGCAGAAGGCUCAAGGUGCCAAGGAGAAGAACCUGGGGCUGGAGGGAUAAAGAAUUCCUCCUGGGUCUGA